UAGACAAAAAAAUGUGGGGGGAAAAGACAUAUAAUUUUUACAUUUAUAGAAGGAAUACAUUUUUUUCUCUGCAUGUAGUAAUUAGUGGUGCAAAUGGUCAGUAAGCAAUACUUCCCUACCUUAAUAGAAUAAAAUCUUUGGUUAAUUAGGAGAUUUAAACACAUAAUGAAUAUGUGAACUCUGCCAACUGUUCUAAUAGAGGCCGUCAGCUCAUUUAUAUUGUUAAUUGAACAAUUAGUAUUGCUGAAUUGCAAACCCACAGGAGACAGGAGGGCAGAACACGUUCCUGAGACACUGCGUUGCUCUGCUGGCACCAGAUAUCUGUGACCACAGGUGACUCCAUUGCCCUCCAGAGCCCUUCAACAACAUGGGUGGAUUUCAACCAUUAGGGAGAGAAAUUUAAAUGUGCAAAUAUUUGCAUUUUCCUAGACUGAUCAUAGUCCACCUCUUCAGAAAUAUCUCAGCACAUGAAGACUGACAGGUAGGAAAGGAUGACUGAAAGGAAGUUUCCUGCAAAAAACACUCUAACAUGCUCUUCAAAAUAGCCUGGAUUUGGACUUACUGCAGCAAAACCCUGAUCCGAGCCUCUUCUGGGAGCAUGUCUGAGGCAGAGAGAAAAACAAGACCCAGGAAUACUCCAGGCUAUCAGCACCAGGAAAUCCCACCACAGCUCAGCAGAAAUGACUGAUCACCUAUACAGAGAAAUCUCCAAUACUGGCAAAGAUAAUUGGCUGUAUUUGGAAGACAGCAGGAAGAAGUGCAGGUUAACUUUUCUGCUCAGAGAGAUUCUCUGCAAGUAUUCCUACUGUUUGGAAGGAGAGAAAGGUGAAUGGCAGUGCUGCUUCCCACACAUGGAAAGCCCAUCUCUUAUGCACAACGAGCAACAUGUGUUUUUCAGUCCAGAUGACUUUGUACUUUAGCCUGAGGAAAAACAACAAAGCCACAGUGAAAACAAACCCUUCAAAACCUGGGGUGGGGCAGAGUGUAUUUCUCACUUGACCUUUCUUGAAACCCUUCCCCCAGCAGAUGAGCUCCCACUGAGACUUAAACCAUGAACAGCAGACAAACAGAUGUUAAUAGCAUCUUCACUGGAACACUGUGCUGGUCCAGAGCUCCUGCUGAAAAUGCUACUGGGCUUUAUCCUCCCUCCUGCAGGCGUCUGUGCUAGUGCAGGCGUUCUGAAAGGAUUGCAAUUUUGCUGCAGGCUCAUGGCAUAGAAAAAACAGAGCUGUGAGGGAGAAAGGCCUUUGCUGAACAUCUCUCAAAAUAAGCUUAUUUAACAGUCAGAUGGGAAAAGACUGGUCUAUCUUUUCCUUCUUGCUUCCCAGACUUUGGAAUGCCCUGUGAUUUACAUUGCACUCAAACCCUCAGCACUGUUCACCCUCUUGGCAAGCUCCCCCCUUCCAUUCCAUUCCUGAUCUCCAUGCCUUUGAUUACAUUGAUUAAAAUAAAACCAAUAUAUCAGAGACCUACUGAAGCAGCUGAUUCCAAAUAUCCACAACAGCAAAAAUAAACAUUGGUGAAAAGCACCUGCAAUCAACAGAAAUAAAAUGAAAGCAAAAAAAAAGUAUUGUAUAAAAAUAAUAAAAAAA